UCCUUUACAGUAUGAGCCUGCUGCUUUCAGAGGACCCCCUCACGAAGACCACGGUGCUGCUGGCCCCAAAGACGCUGUCCGGAGUGGACCUGCUUCUAGCCGCGAAGUCGUAAUUCGAGCUCCUCCGGAAGCUAACACUAUGCGAAUAGGGUUCGGUACGUUCUGCGAUACAGAACCUCUCCUACCCAAAACUUCUAGUACUCUCCUUACUUUGUUUCUUUUAAUUGGAUUCCUG
rnacentral:rRNA from 1 species